GGAGGUGUGGUUCAACUGGUUGAGCACCAGCAUUGAGGGGCAAAAGUUAGGUAGAGCGACAGAGAGGCUCUUGAGUUCAAAUCCCAACAUCUCCA
rnacentral:tRNA from 1 species